UGGAUUCGCUAGUAAUCGCGCAUCAGCCAUGGCGCGGUGAAUACGUUCCCGGGCCUUGUACACACCGCCCGUCAAGCCAUGAAAGCCGGGGGCGCCUGAAGUCCGUGACCGCGAGGGUCGGCCUAGGGUGAAACCGGUGAUUGGGGCUAAGUCGUAACAAGGUAAC
rnacentral:rRNA from 1 species